CGAUCGCACGCUGCAUUGACUCGUGGCUUUCUUCGCGGCGAAGGCCGCGCGCCUCUCUCUGCGUGUGCUGCAUCCUUCCACUGGUACUUUCGGAUGGAGUAUCAUAGGCUGGAUUUGGUCAAUCAAGGGGUGGAGUCGUUUGAGGGGCUAGCUGAAAGAAAAGAUGAGAACUUCCUCGUAAUAAAUCUGCAGCGCAACCGACUUACCAGCUUUGAGUUCUUCGGCACACACCCGUAUCUUAUCGAAGUGCAUUUACAGUACAACAGAAUUGAGUCGUUUCGUGGGCUCACUAGGCAGGCUUCUCUGAGAUCGCUGCAUCUGCAGGGCUGCCCGGUAGCAUGUCACCCGUACUACCGUCUCAUGGCGCUACUCACCAUCGGCUUUGGCCUGGAGGAUGUGGAUGGCCUUCCUAUUACCCCCCAAGAGCGACACGUCGCGAAGGCACUGGGGAAGAGGGCCGCGCUUGCGGUGAGUUACGGGUGGCUUUUAGAUCUUCAUCCGCGCACCAGCGCCGAGUACGAUGCCAUCAUCGACGAGUUCAGGCGACUUCGAAGGGAUGAGUACAAGCGAACGCAGAGCAGCCGCUUGCCGAGUGUCAAAGCUGUGUUGGCCAAUCUUGACCGCACGCGGAGUCAACGCGGGUACAAUACAGCAGCCGAGCUUCAGCUGACUGAGCGAGAGAAAACAAUCACGCGGCUGACACGGCGAGUUGCGCAGCUAGAGUGUCAGCUUGCCGCCUCGCCGUCGGCCCACGCGGUCCCGCUACUUCCACCCACUGAAGAUGCUGUGGGGGUUCUUGAUAACAACAGGGCCUCGUCCUCUAGUGGGCUUUUCUCGGCUACCGAGCUUGCGUUAAUGGACAAGAUGAGCUUCCUGCAUGGCAUUCAGCUGCGCCAUAACCUCGGCAGAGAGCAGGGCGACUUUCAUCGCGUCUGUCUUCAGAUCGACCAUGAAACGUUGACUGCUGAGUCCUUCUUGUCUCGAGAGCGCCUUGUGCAGCUCACCUUGCGCUCUCUCCGCGUGCGCCACGUUCGCCCUCUCACGUUGGCGGCAGCGGAUGCAACGGGUGGCACAGUGGAGCUGCGUUUCGAUUCGCUUCCGCUCCUACAGACUGUUUACAAGGCGCUGUUUCUCCUCAGCGCCCGUCCUGUGCCGCCGCUCUCGGUGACCACGCAGGGGGAGCUGCAGGAGGUGGAAAAUGUGCGCCGCCGCUCCCCGAAAGCGCUGACGUCCUCGACGUCGCCGCUGACCUCCUUUGCGUUCUCGGAGGGGGGGCCAAGUAUCUCGUGGUUUACCACGUCAGAACAUCCGGCGAACUCAGCCACGGCCUGCGCGCUGACAUCGACAACACCAGCUAGUAACGUGGAGCGUGGCGCGCCCGCGGCGCAGCAUUUGGAGACGCUCGACAAUGUCACGGAUGUUCCUCCUUUGCCGGCGGCGUGCUCAGGCCCCAACGCUGCGGGGCAGUCUCACUCUGACUAUUCGAUGAAGGCGACGCGGAAAUCGCACACCGCUGCCGCGGUGGCAAAGGACAAGUGUGCGCCUGAGACACUUGGCGUGGCGAGCCAUGCCUUCGGCUCAUCGGCCGCACAGGUCGAUGGCGCCGUGCCGAAGUCUACAAGGGCAGGGGCCACAAAAGCGUUUCCCGCGGCAGAGUCCGAGGAGCUUGCGAGCCUCGUGUUCAAGACCACCAGUUCUGAGUCGGUUGUCUUUGAAAGCGAUGCCGAGGACCAAAGCCGUGCGUCGGAGGAGGGCAUCGCUGUACCUGGCGUAGAAGAGAGUGCAGCAGCACUACCUCGUAUACCGCCCCUGGUGCCAGCCAAUGCCGCACGACCUGCUGGUCACGCCAAAGCUCCUGCACCUCUGCGCGUCCCGCCUCGGCAAACGCAAGCGAGGAGGACAUCUGCGACUUCAUCGGUGUCCGGCGUGCAAGUGAGGAGCGGAACAGACAAGGCGGCGGCGCCAGGGAGCCCAGUUCUCACUAGCGUCGGAUCGUUCGGCACAUCUGGCGCUGCCUCGCAGAAGUCCUCCGUCGUUUUUGACGGGAGACGGAAGGAGAAACAGACAAGCAGUGUCAGUUUUCAAGUCACCAUGUCGAAUGGGGGGAGUGCGACAGCGAACACUGCGCGGUCAUCUGCAAAAGACUCCGCGCAACCAGAGAUUUCGUCCCGCUUCAGGUCACUGCUUAUCGAUUCGGACUCUGACUCGAACCACUGAGAGAUAGAGAGAGCUGCUAAGCUCCCCUUUCCCUCCCUCCACACUAGACACGCGCAAAGCAACAACAAGGCACUACACGGAUGGGGCUCAUCAAACGCCUGCAAGCGAAUCGAGGGGAGGUGCGAGGGCCUUGGCGCACUACUCCGUUUCUCUUGUCUCCGUUCCUGUGCUGCAAAGCUGUUUUCGCGCGGUCAAGUGCGCAUACGGGGCAUCGUUUCAACUCUCGGGAGCGCGACAUAUGUUUGAUUUUCUGUCUCGCUUUCUGUCCCUGUAAAUUACUAUCCAGGCCCGUGGCACGAGCUGCGCUACAUUGGCGUGCACGCGUAUUCACUUGUUGUACGUGCGCGUGUGGGGGAUGGGGAGUGUGAGGGACUUUUAGUUUCAAAGCAUGCUGAAGUGGCAAUCUCAAGG
rnacentral:misc_RNA from 1 species